GACGAACGCUGGCGGCGUGCUUAACACAUGCAAGUCGAACGGACAGGCCCUGCUUUUGUUGGGUUCUCGAUUGGCGAACGGGUGAGUAACACGUGAGUAACCUGCCCUUGACUUUGGGAUAACUUCAGGAAACUGGGGCUAAUACCGGAUAGGAUCUCCUGCUGCAUGGUGGGGGUUGGAAAGUUUCGGCGGUUGGGGAUGGACUCGCGGCUUAUCAGCUUGUUGGUGGGGUAGUGGCUUACCAAGGCUUUGACGGGUAGCCGGCCUGAGAGGGUGACCGGCCACAUUGGGACUGAGAUACGGCCCAGACUGCUACGGGAGGCAGCAGUGGGGAAUAUUGCACAAUGGGCGGAAGCCUGAUGCAGCAACGCCGCGUGCGGGAUGACGGCCUUCGGGUUGUAAACCGCUUUCGCCUGUGACGAAGAGUGAGUGACGGUAAUGGGUAAAGAAGCACCGGCUAACUACGUG
rnacentral:rRNA from 1 species